GCUCUGUCUCUCUCUGUCCCAAAAAUAAAUAAACGUUGAAAAAAAAAAAAAAUUUUAAAAACACUUUCUGGGGCACCUGGGUUGCUCAGCGGGUUGAGUGUCUGGCUUCGGCUCAGGUCAUGAUCUCAUGAUUCGUGAGUUCAAGCCCCGCAUCGGACUCUCUGCUGUCAUUGCAGAGCCGGCUUCAGAUCCUCUGUCCCCAUCUCUCUCUUUGCCCCUCCCCAACUUGCGCUCUCUCUCCCUCUCUCAGAAGUAAACAUUAAAAACAAAACCUUUUUGAUAGAAAAAAGUAAAAACACUUUCAUAGAAAGAACUCCAUGUAAGAGUAUAACAAAACAAUACGUACUGCCUACCUAGGGCAGCCUAAAGGUAUACAUAUCAUUUUUAUCAUACUGUUAUACAGUAGAGGAGAGGAAGGUUAUGUGGCUCAAGGCUUUUGAAGCUUUUGAAGGAGACCUAAAGAUUUCAAGGAGUGGCAUAUGAAGACUCAUCAAAUGGAGCUACCAGGAGAACAAUGAAUUGAUACAACAGGUCAUUCCAUUCUUAGUUUUUCUCAUUACUUGGGUUAUGAGUGUCUCAACCAAGGUGUACAAAUUUCUUUCUUGUUUCUAACUGCUGUAUUUGUAGGAUGCUAGCUUCAGAAAUGCCAGACCCAUCCCAGUUAAAGACCUAGUGGAGAGAAAAAUCAUGCAAGGUGAGAUAUCAUAAACUCUGCCUCAUGCCUAUAGUAGUAAUGGCUGCUACCUGUUAUGCACAGCAGAUAUACUGGAGUGCAAUCAUCUGAUGUCCUUGAUGUUUCAUCUGCUGUUCCUGAUGCCAUCACAGUGAGAAAAAAACUGUCUUAGCCCCCAGAUCUCAGGUGAAUUGUACAUAUUUUAAAGAUGAAAACACAGUUAUGCAGCUAAAUUAUUUAAUCUCCUAAUAGAGUAUCUGUUGCUGUAAUUCCAAAUGGUCCUGAAUAUUUUAUUAAAAAAAAUUUUUUUAAUGUUUGUUUAUUUUUGAGAGAGACAGAGUGUGAGCAGGGGAGGGUCAGAGAGAGAGGGAGACACAGAAUCUGAAGCAGGCUCCAGGCUCUGAGCUGAAGUCUGACACUUAACCGACUGAGCUACCCCAGUGCACCUGGUCCUGAAUAUUUUAAAAAGUAUAUAGAUGUUCAGUAUAUGUUUGUUAAAUUAAGUUGUUUGACUUUAAUCAGUGUUUCCUUUAAGAGUCACUGAAAGCUGAUAAUCAGGAACAUUGUUCUGGAGGAAAAUAAAAAAUAAAAAAAACCAGUUUGGCUACCUGAAUUUCUGAGGACUGUGAUGAUUCCAGCAUCUAUCAGUCAUGCGACGCACUAUUAAUGGUUUUGAAACUAAUGAGUCAGGAAAUGAUAAUCAGGGUAAGGCUCCUAAAAUUGUUUUCUCUGCCAGGACUAGACAUGUUAACUCUCAUUCGUCACCACCUUCAAAAUUUAUUUUAUACAUGUGGCAACCCUUUUUUUAAUGUUUGGAAUUUUUUUCUUUCUUUUUUAAUUUUAUUUUUUAUUUUUUUAAGUAAUCUCUACCUCCAGUGUAGGGCUUGAACUCAUGACUCCAAGACCAAGAGUCACACGCUCCACUAACUGAGCCAGCCAUGUGUCCCAGAUAGUUUUUCUUUUUUGUUGUUAAUAUUUAAUUAUUAUGAAAUACACUGAAUUUUUUAAAAUAUUAGUAUAUUAGAGAUAAAACUAAAAUAUCCUUUUGCCUCCACAACCCCCUCAACAGACCUAGCCAUCUCCUACCUUUCCCAAAAUAACUAGCACUAGAAAUUUGAGAUCUUUUCUACACAAUAAUUGUGUUGGGUUUAUUUUAACAUAUAUUAUUUUUAAUCAAUGAGAUCUUGUUAUAAUUAAUACUAUGACUUUACUGCUUCAAGUUGGAUGCUUUCAUCCAAGAAAAAUCUAUUAAGGAGAAAAAAAGGGGGAAAAAGAUGUAUACCAAAAUAUCAAUGUGUUAUUUCUAAAACAUCUAUAAUCAAAUGCAUUUAUUCUACCAAUCAAGAAGAUACUCAAACACAGUAAUCUCUAGAAAUUACCUCUCUUCUCCAUCUACCCCUCCCCACCAUUGUUUUAAAUGGCUUUCCUUUUCUUUAUAAACUACCUUAUUAGUACUCAAUUGAAAGACUAAAGUGGGAGUUUAGUAUAACAUAAUGAAAAGUAACAGUGGAUACUCAAAGCAGUACUUUAACACCUUCACUUUUAGAUUGUUGCAAACGUUAAUACAAGUAUCACAUAUCUCUGUACCUGUGUGUAUAUUUUGAGUGUGAUUUUUUUCCCGAUUUUUUACAUUCUUCUGAUCUUAGCUGCUUGCAUUUGGAAUUAUACAUGGCAAACACCUUUGACAAAAUUCUCAACACGUUGUUGAAUUCUAGAACAAAGAACCAUAAGGAAUCUUAGCCCAUUGAUCAGAUUUGAAGUUAAAAAAUAUGUAUACCAUCUCAUACGAGUGAGUGUAGUGUUUUCUAACACUGUCUUUUCUACUUGGAAUUUCUUCCCUCUCUCUUCCCUUAUGGAUCCUUCAAAAACUGGCUUAGUGGCACUUCCUCUAACAGUCUUCCUAGGCUGAAUUAGGUAUGCCCAUACACAUUCUACACUUAACUACAACAGUUAUCACACAAUAAACAUUUAUUGAGUCGUUAUAUUAAUACUUAACCUUCUUCAAACUACUAGUCUUCUCAUUGCUAAGAACUAGCAUGCAUAGGGGUGCCUCGGUGGCUCAGCCAGUUGAGUAUCUGACUCUUGAUUUCAGCUCAGGUCAUGAUCUCAGGUGAGAUCAAGCCUUGCGUGGAGCUCCAUGCUGACAGUACGAAACCUGCUUGGGAUUCAUUCUCAUUCUCUCUGCUCCUCCCAUGCAUGUGUGCAUGCACUCUCAAAAUAAAUAAACUUAAAAAAAAUAAAUGAAAUAACCUUUUUCUUGAUUUUAAAGCAAUAUAUCCAUUAUAUAAAAUUUAGAAAAUAGGAAAAAGGUGUAGAAAGGAAAAAAGAUUUAUUUCACAUCUUGCUCAGAGGCAAGCACAAUAUUUUAGUAUAUGCGCUCUUCCCAUCUUUAAUCUGAGUGUGAUUGUUUGUUUUUUGGGUUUUUUUACAUAAUUGUGAUCACACUAUACAAUUUCACAGCCUGGUAUCAUCACUUAACACUAAAAUGUAAACACUGCCUUGCUAUUAAAAAUGAUGUGAAUACGUUUCUGAUGGCCAGGAAAUAUUCCAGCUUAGCACCAUAUCUAAUUCCUUAUUGGGGGGUUUUGGGUUGUUUGUAUUGGCUAUUAAGUAAAAAGUAGUCUAAAAGCCAGAAUUGGCAGUAUGGUUUCAUUUUGGUUUAAAAAUAUCCAUAGCUAUAUAGCCAUCGAAAAAAUGUCAAGAUGUAUAUACAUCCUUACUGUUAAUGAUGCCUGGGAAGUGGGAUUAUUAGAGUUUUAACACUGUCUUUAUUUUAACUAUGUUUUUUAAAUCCUCUACAAUGAGUAUUCUUGUUUUUGUAAUUAACUAAUAAAGUAUUUUUUGUUACAGGGGGAGAUGGAAUAGUCAAAUGGCCACCUGAUUUAUCACAAUACAGUACAGAGGGGGACAUGAUGGUUUUUCAGUAAAUGGUGCUGGGUUAUUUAAUAUCCAUAUGAAGAAAACAAAGUAUCUUCACCCCUUCUCCAUAUCAUAUAGAAAAUCACUUCCAG
rnacentral:lncRNA from 1 species